UACGAAGGGGACUAGCGUUGUUCGGAAUUACUGGGGCGUAAAGGGCUCGUAGGCGGCCAACUAAGUCGGAUGUGAAAUCCCCAGGCUUAACCUGGGAACUGCAUCCGAUACUGGAAGACUUGAAUCCGGGAGAGGGAUGUGGAAUUCCAGGUGUAGCGGUGAAAUGCGUAGAUAUCUGGAGGAACACCGGUGGCGAAGGCGACAUCCUGGACCGGUAUUGACGCUGAGGCGCGAAAGCCAGGGGAGCG
rnacentral:rRNA from 1 species